rnacentral:rRNA from 1 species
GGGUUGUGAGGUUAAGCGAACAAGCGUACACGGUGGAUGCCCUGGCAGUCAGAGGCGAUGAAGGACGUGCUAAUCUGCGAAAAGCGCCGGUAAGGUGAUAUGAACCGUUAUAACCGGCGAUGUCCGAAUGGGGAAACCCGGUGCACUUCGGUGCAUCAUCGUUAGCUGAAUACAUAGGCUAACGAGGCGAACCGGGGGAACUGAAACAUCUAAGUACCCCGAGGAAAAGAAAUCAACCGAGAUUCCCCCAGUAGCGGCGAGCGAACGGGGAACAGCCCAGAGCCUGAAUCAGCUUGUGUGUCAGUGGAACGGUCUGGAAAGGCCGGCGAUACAGGGUGACAGCCCCGUACACGAAGGCACACAGGCUGUGAGCUCGAUGAGUAGGGCGGGACACGUGAUAUCCUGUCUGAAGAUGGGGGGACCAUCCUCCAAGGCUAAAUACUCCUGACUGACCGAUAGUGAACCAGUACCGUGAGGGAAAGGCGAAAAGAACCCCGGCGAGGGGAGUGAAACAGAACCUGAAACCGUGUACGUACAAGCAGUGGGAGCCUUCGUAAGAGGGUGACUGCGUACCUUUUGUAUAAUGGGUCAGCGACUUAUAUUCUGUAGCAAGGUUAACCGUAUAGGGGAGCCGAAGGGAAACCGAGUCUUAAUUGGGCGUUAAGUUGCAGGGUAUAGACCCGAAACCCGGUGAUCUAGCCAUGGGCAGGUUGAAGGUUGGGUAACACUAACUGGAGGACCGAACCGACUAAUGUUGAAAAAUUAGCGGAUGACCUGUGGCUGGGGGUGAAAGGCCAAUCAAACCGGGAGAUAGCUGGUUCUCCCCGAAAGCUAUUUAGGUAGCGCCUCGUGAAUUCAUCUCCGGGGGUAGAGCACUGUUUCGGCUAGGGGGCCAUCCCGGCUUACCAACCCGAUGCAAACUGCGAAUACCGGAGAAUGUUAUCACGGGAGACACACGGCGGGUGCUAACGUCCGUCGUGAAGAGGGAAACAACCCAGACCGCCAGCUAAGGUCCCAAAGUCAUGGUUAAGUGGGAAACGAUGUGGGAAGGCCCAGACAGCCAGGAUGUUGGCUUAGAAGCAGCCAUCAUUUAAAGAAAGCGUAAUAGCUCACUGGUCGAGUCGGCCUGCGCGGAAGAUGUAACGGGGCUAAACCAUGCACCGAAGCUGCGGCAGCGACACUAUGUGUUGUUGGGUAGGGGAGCGUUCUGUAAGCCUGCGAAGGUGUGCUGUGAGGCAUGCUGGAGGUAUCAGAAGUGCGAAUGCUGACAUAAGUAACGAUAAAGCGGGUGAAAAGCCCGCUCGCCGGAAGACCAAGGGUUCCUGUCCAACGUUAAUCGGGGCAGGGUGAGUCGACCCCUAAGGCGAGGCCGAAAGGCGUAGUCGAUGGGAAACAGGUUAAUAUUCCUGUACUUGGUGUUACUGCGAAGGGGGGACGGAGAAGGCUAUGUCGGCCGGGCGACGGUUGUCCCGGUUUAAGCGUGUAGGCUGACUUUCCAGGCAAAUCCGGAAGGUUAAGGCUGAGGCGUGAUGACGAGGCACCACGGUGCUGAAGUGACAAAUGCCCUGCUUCCAGGAAAAGCCUCUAAGCAUCAGGUAACAUCAAAUCGUACCCCAAACCGACACAGGUGGUCAGGUAGAGAAUACCAAGGCGCUUGAGAGAACUCGGGUGAAGGAACUAGGCAAAAUGGUGCCGUAACUUCGGGAGAAGGCACGCUGACAUGUAGGUGAAGCCCCUGCGGGUGGAGCUGAAGUCAGUCGAAGAUACCAGCUGGCUGCAACUGUUUAUUAAAAACACAGCACUGUGCAAACACGAAAGUGGACGUAUACGGUGUGACGCCUGCCCGGUGCCGGAAGGUUAAUUGAUGGGGUUAUCGCAAGAGAAGCUCCUGAUCGAAGCCCCGGUAAACGGCGGCCGUAACUAUAACGGUCCUAAGGUAGCGAAAUUCCUUGUCGGGUAAGUUCCGACCUGCACGAAUGGCGUAAUGAUGGCCAGGCUGUCUCCACCCGAGACUCAGUGAAAUUGAACUCGCUGUGAAGAUGCAGUGUACCCGCGGCAAGACGGAAAGACCCCGUGAACCUUUACUACAGCUUGACACUGAACAUUGAGCCUUGAUGUGUAGGAUAGGUGGGAGGCUUUGAAGCGUGGACGCCAGUCUGCGUGGAGCCGACCUUGAAAUACCACCCUUUAAUGUUUGAUGUUCUAACCUGGCGCCGUGAUCCGGCGUGGGGACAGUGUCUGGUGGGUAGUUUGACUGGGGCGGUCUCCUCCCAAAGUGUAACGGAGGAGCACGAAGGUCAGCUAAUCCUGGUCGGACAUCAGGAGGUUAGUGCAAUGGCAUAAGCUGGCUUGACUGCGAGAGUGACGGCUCGAGCAGGUGCGAAAGCAGGUCAUAGUGAUCCGGUGGUUCUGUAUGGAAGGGCCAUCGCUCAACGGAUAAAAGGUACUCCGGGGAUAACAGGCUGAUACCGCCCAAGAGUUCAUAUCGACGGCGGUGUUUGGCACCUCGAUGUCGGCUCAUCACAUCCUGGGGCUGAAGUAGGUCCCAAGGGUAUGGCUGUUCGCCAUUUAAAGUGGUACGCGAGCUGGGUUUAGAACGUCGUGAGACAGUUCGGUCCCUAUCUGCCGUGGGCGCUGGAGAAUUGAGGGGGGCUGCUCCCAGUACGAGAGGACCGGAGUGGACGCAUCACUGGUGUUCGGGUUGUCAUGCCAAUGGCACUGCCCGGUAGCUAAAUGCGGAAGAGAUAAGUGCUGAAAGCAUCUAAGCACGAAACUUGCCCCGAGAUGAGUUCUCCCUGAGACU